rnacentral:lncRNA from 1 species
UUGGGAGGUGAGGUGUUAAUCACAAUCAUGCAAACAGUUUGUAUGGUGAUCCACGAAAACGUUGUGGGGAUUCAUCAAUUGUGUAAAUUGUUUGCCAGACAGUGGGUCGUAUGUACGUGCAUCACUUAACCUACAUAUCGCAAAUCGGUUACAGGGGGUUGCCGAUUCUUCGAGCUAUAUGACCAGCCCAUUGUCACUUCAGCUUGCUUAUCCUUCGAGAUCGAAGCAAACGAGCAGACGAUGGAAAGCAGCUACUGUCGCCCAUACACAACCGCGAUACGAGAAGAGUUGUUUAUGCUUUGCCGCCUUUUUAUAUAUUUGUAAGCACGUUUCUUUAAAUGCCCUAUAUUAUAUAGUAAAGGGAAAACUAAAGAAUAUUUAAAUAUUGACGUGAGACAAUUCAAUUGGUGUGGAUCAGUAAAUUGUGUAAUCCCAAAUAAAUAUUGUCCACUAAUAUCUAUCCACCAUUUAUGUGGUAGGUAUAUACAUUUUUCAGCACGAAAUUUUUGUCUAAAAUACUUCUUACAGUUACCACUAGUUAUUGUUAGAUACUUCAUUUGCAGUAAAUUUUGCUUUUAAAAACUUUUUUGUACAAGGAGCAGAACCAGGCCUUAAUCUCUGUUUAAAAUUAUGCAGCUGAUUUAACAUUAUAUUAAAUUCAAAUUAUUUAUUAAUUCAAUUUUUAUGUAUGUCUGACAACUAAAAUUCAUAUAUUUGUAUCUAUUCAUAAUCGGGACUAAAUUAUAAAUGUUAAUGAUUGAAGAUCUAUUUAAGAUAAUGCGUGUUUUUAAUUAUUAUAAUUUACAACAGUUAUAAAAAAGUAAUAAAAUAUUAAAAUGGCGUCGUCGUAAUGAAUGACGAAAAAGUUACAUAAUAUACGCAUCCUAAUAUUAUUUUAGUUAGCUGUAUCUAUUUUUACCCGCUUAGUUUCAAAUAGUUGACAAAGCUUUUGCAAAUGUAUGUCAUCACGAUGACAAUGAUAUGAAGCUUUCA